UGGCGACCGGCGCACGGGUGCGUAACGCGUAUGUAACCUACCUAUAACAGGGGCAUAACACUGAGAAAUUGGUACUAAUUCCCCAUAAUAUUCGGAGAGGCAUCUCUCCGGGUUGAAAACUCCGGUGGUUAUAGAUGGACAUGCGUUGUAUUAGCUAGUUGGUGAGGUAACGGCUCACCAAGGCAACGAUACAUAGGGGGACUGAGAGGUUAACCCCCCCACACUGGUACUGAGACACGGACCAGACUCCUACGGGAGGCAGCAUG
rnacentral:rRNA from 1 species